GACGAACGCUGGCGGCGUGCUUAACACAUGCAAGUCGAACGGAAAGGCCCUGCUUUUGUGGGGUGCUCGAGUGGCGAACGGGUGAGUAACACGUGAGUAACCUGCCCUUGACUUUGGGAUAACUUCAGGAAACUGGGGCUAAUACCGGAUAGGAGCUCCUGCUGCAUGGUGGGGGUUGGAAAGUUUCGGCGGUUGGGGAUGGACUCGCGGCUUAUCAGCUUGUUGGUGGGGUAGUGGCUUACCAAGGCUUUGACGGGUAGCCGGCCUGAGAGGGUGACCGGCCACAUUGGGACUGGGGUACCGGCCAGACUCCUACGGGAGGCAGCAGUGGGGAAUAUUGCACAAUGGGCGGAAGCCUGAUGCAGCAACGCCGCGUGGGGGAUGACGGCCUUCGGGUUGGAAACCGCUUUCGCCUGUGACGAAGCGUGAGUUACGGUAAUUGGUAAAGAAGCACCGGCUAACUACGUG
rnacentral:rRNA from 1 species